CCUACGGGAGGCAGCAGUGGGGAAUAUUGCACAAUGGGGGAAACCCUGAUGCAGCGACGCCGCGUGAGUGAAGAAGUAAUUCGUUAUGUAAAGCUCUAUCAGCAGGGAAGAAAAUGACGGUACCUGAGUAAGAAGCCCCGGCUAACUACGUGCCAGCAGCCGCGGUAAUACGUAGGGGGCAAGCGUUAUCCGGAUUUACUGGGUGGAAAGGGAGCGUAGACGGCAGUGCAAGUCUGGAGUGAAAGGCGGGGGCUUAACCCCCGGACUGCUCUGGAAACUGUACGGCUGGAGUGCAGGAGAGGUAAGUGGAAUUCCUAGUGUAGCGGUGAAAUGCGUAGAUAUUAGGAGGAACACCAGUGGCGAAGGCGGCUUACUGGACUGUAACUGACGUUGAGGCUCGAAAGCGUGGGGAGCAAACAGGAUUAGAUACCCUUGUAGUC
rnacentral:rRNA from 1 species